UACGGAGGGUGCAAGCGUUAUCCGGAUUCACUGGGUUUAAAGGGUGCGUAGGCGGGCAGAUAAGUCAGUGGUGAAAUAUCCGAGCUUAACUCGGAAACUGUCGUUGAUACUAUUUGUCUUGAAUACUGUGGAGGUAAGCGGAAUAUGUCAUGUAGCGGUGAAAUGCUUAGAUAUGACAUAUAACACCAAUUGCGAAGGCAGCUUACUACACAGCGAUUGACGCUGGGGCACGAAAGCGUGGGGAUCAAACAGG
rnacentral:rRNA from 1 species